UGUGACUCGGCACGAGGUGUUUUUCAAUUUACAGGUUGCUAAGAACUUUUUGUAAACAAGAACGCUAGCACAUCAUAGAAAAGCAAGUACAUGUGACAAUGGUGGUAGAGUGUUUAGAGAGAACGAACAUUUUACAUGUGCUGAUGGAUGUAAUCACUGUACUUGCCACACUCAUACAUGGAUAGGGUGCACAUUCAAUUUACCACCAGAAAUAUACAGAAAAAACGAAACCCUUUGAGAAAUCUUUUGUGCUUUUAACGUUUUUGCUAAAGCUUUUGAUACAUUUUGGAGAAAUGGCAUGCUGAAAUAAGUACUAUUAAACUAUAUAAACCCUGUGA